rnacentral:rRNA from 1 species
UACAGAGGGUGCAAGCGUUGUUCGGAAUUAUUGGGCGUAAAGCGCGUGUAGGCGGCUUUGCAAGUCGGGUGUGAAAGCCCUCAGCUCAACUGAGGAAGUGCGCCCGAAACUGCAGAGCUUGAGUACCGGAGAGGAUGGCGGAAUUCCCCAAGUAGAGGUGAAAUUCGUAGAUAUGGGGAGGAACACCGGUGGCGAAGGCGGCCAUCUGGACGGAUACUGACGCUGAGACGCGAAAAGCGUGGGGAGCAACA